AGUGAACGUGGCCUUGGUUUACCCGCCCACUCCCACCGUCGCCAGCCCUUGUUCCAAGUAACGUGACGGCCCUGGURCCGGAGGUUUUUCCGCUUUGGACUCCGAGCAGCUGCGGGGCCCAGACGGUUCCCGGGGUGCCCGGAGGCCGAAGACGGCGAGGCACGAGGUGAAGCGGCCGUGGCAGGGAGGGCGCUCUGGGGGCGACGCUCUGCGCACCACGUGUGUGAAAAGCCACUUGGAUCUCACGGUGACUGGGAAGGUGUCCUUGGCACCACUUCAUUCACACCUGCUCGGGAGGGAGCCUCUUGGAACAAGCUGCAGCAGCACGGGCCGGAUUUGCUCCAGAUGAGAGGAAGCUCACACUUUGCUGCUGUGACGCGGCGUGGAGGAAGGAAGCGGCACAGCGGAUCCUCUCCGGGCCCGUUUGCCACUGCGCCCGCUCCCACGGAUGGAGCGCCGACGGAGUGGGGGGACGGAGCAGCCCUGGGACCACAGCGCCCGGCAGGAUCUCUCAGUGGCACCGCCAGCCASGCCGAGAUGGGGAUCGCUUAUCCGCCCGCUGUUCAGGAACUGGCCUAACUGCGGUUCCAUCCUUUUUUUUUUUUUUUAAAUAUGUGAAAACUACUUGAUUUUCUACGCAGUCCAAAGCGGCCCCGCUCACGUGAGCUGUGCCGAGGGGUGGCGGGGGCUUUCGGCGUUGCCGCUGUGCCGCGAGGCUGCCAGGGGCCUCAUGCCCAAGGCCUGGUGCUGCAGGAGUGCGCGGUGGGAUUUACUCGUCCCCUUUGAGGAUCGGUCGCUGGCCAUGGGGAGGAGAGGACUCCAAGAAUCCAGGCGCGCAGCCCUCGCGCUGCUCCUGUCCCCGUUCAGGGCACCGURCGUCUCCCACCAGAGCCAGCUGCGAGUUUAGCUCCUCCUGAACGUGG